rnacentral:rRNA from 1 species
UACGUAGGGGGCAAGCGUUAUCCGGAUUUACUGGGUGUAAAGGGAGCGUAGACGGCGGGGCAAGUCUGGAGUGAAAGGCCGGGGCCCAACCCCGGGACCGCUCUGGAAACUGCCCGGCUGGAGUGCGGGAGAGGUAAGCGGAAUUCCUAGUGUAGCGGUGAAAUGCGUAGAUAUUAGGAGGAACACCAGCGGCGAAGGCGGCUUACCAGACUGAGUCUGACGCUGAUGCACGAGAGCAUGGGUAGCGAACAGG